rnacentral:lncRNA from 1 species
AAGUUUAGGUAGUUCUUCAAUCAAGACUACAUUGAACAAGGAUGGUGAUGCAGCUUAUACAGCAGAAAACACUGUUGGUGCUGAAAUAGUUCGUACAAGAGAAUGACUAUGGAUCACUUACUUCUAGGCCAGGUCCAUGGUUAGCAACAUGAUGAAGGAUGCCAGCUUCCCCUGAAGAUCAACCCAUCAUCGAAGUUGAAAACUUUGAGAUCACAAGACACCAAUAGACGUUCCAGUACAUCUUUGUGGAUUCCAAGACAUCCUCACAGAGU